GAUGAACGCUGGCGGCGUGCCUAAUACAUGCAAGUCGAGCGAACAGACGAGGAGCUUGCUCCUCUGACGUUAGCGGCGGACGGGUGAGUAACACGUGGAUAACCUACCUAUAAGACUGGGAUAACUUCGGGAAACCGGAGCUAAUACCGGAUAAUAUAUUGAACCGCAUGGUUCAAUAGUGAAAGACGGUUUUGCUGUCACUUAUAGAUGGAUCCGCGCCGCAUUAGCUAGUUGGUAAGGUAACGGCUUACCAAGGCAACGAUGCGUAGCCGACCUGAGAGGGUGAUCGGCCACACUGGAACUGAGACACGGUCCAGACUCCUACGGGAGGCAGCAGUAGGGAAUCUUCCGCAGUGGGCGAAAGCCUGACGGAGCAACGCCGCGUGAGUGAUGAAGGUCUUCGGAUCGUAAAACUCUGUUAUGAGGGAAGAACAAAUGUGUAAGUAACUAUGCACGUCUUGACGGUACCUAAUCAGAAAGCCACGGCUAACUACGU
rnacentral:rRNA from 1 species